UACAGAGGUGGCAAGCGUUGUUCGGAAUUACUGGGCGUAAAGGGCGCGUAGGCGGUCUUGUAAGUCCCGUGUGAAAGCCCCCGGCUCAACUGGGGAAUGGCACGGGAAACUGCGAGGCUUGAGUUCGGGAGAGGGAAGCGGAAUUCCGGGUGUAGCGGUGAAAUGCGUAGAUAUCCGGAGGAACACCGGUGGCGAAGGCGGCUUCCUGGACCGACACUGACGCUGAGGCGCGAAAGCUAGGGGAGCAAACGGG
rnacentral:rRNA from 1 species